CCUCCUUUAUUCCGCCGUGGGGGAUAUUGGACAAUGGGGGGAACCCUGAUCCAGCGACGCCGCGUGAGUGAAGAAGUAUUUCGGUAUGUAAAGCUCUGUCAGCAGGGAAGAAAGAAAUGACGGUACCUGACCAAGAAGCCCCGGCUAACUACGGGCCAGCAGCCGCGGUAAUACGUAGGGGGCAAGCGUUAUCCGGAAUUACUGGUGUUAAAGGGAGCGUAGACGGUUAAGUAAGUCUGGAGUGAAAGGCCGGGGCCCAACCCCGGGACUGCUCUGGAAACUAUUGAACUUGAGUGCAGGAGUGGUAAGCGGAAUUCCUAGUGUAGCGGUGAAAUGCGUAGAUAUUAGGAGGAACACCAGUGGCGAAGGCGGCUUACUGGACUGUAACUGACGUUGAGGCUCGAAAGCGUGGGGAGCAAACAGGAUUAGAUACCCGAGUAGUC
rnacentral:rRNA from 1 species